CGGCGAACGGGUGAGUAACACGUGAGCAACCUGCCCUUCACUUCGGGAUAACCAUCGGAAACGGUGGUUAAUACCGGAUAUGACACAGUUUCGCAUGGGAUCUGUGUGGAAAGUUUUUCGGUGGGGGAUGGGCUCGCGGCCUAUCAGCUUGUUGGUGGGGUAAUGGCCUACCAAGGCGACGACGGGUAGCCGGCCUGAGAGGGCGACCGGCCACACUGGGACUGAGACACGGCCCAG
rnacentral:rRNA from 1 species